GCAGUCGAGCGGACAGAAGGGAGCUUGCUCCCGGAUGUUAGCGGCGGACGGGUGAGUAACACGUGGGUAACCUGCCUGUAAGACUGGGAUAACUCCGGGAAACCGGAGCUAAUACCGGAUAGUUCCUUGAACCGCAUGGUUCAAGGAUGAAAGACGGUUUCGGCUGUCACUUACAGAUGGACCCGCGGCGCAUUAGCUAGUUGGUGAGGUAACGGCUCACCAAGGCGACGAUGCGUAGCCGACCUGAGAGGGUGAUCGGCCACACUGGGACUGAGACACGGCCCAGACUCCUACGGGAGGCAGCAGUAGGGAAUCUUCCGCAAUGGACGAAAGUCUGACGGAGCAACGCCGCGUGAGUGAUGAAGGUUUUCGGAUCGUAAAGCUCUGUUGUUAGGGAAGAACAAGUGCAAGAGUAACUGCUUGCACCUUGACGGUACCUAACCAGAAAGCCACGGCUAACUACGUGCCAGCAGCCGCGGUAAUACGUAGGUGGCAAGCGUUGUCCGGAAUUAUUGGGCGUAAAGGGCUCGCAGGCGGUUUCUUAAGUCUGAUGUGAAAGCCCCCGGCUCAACCGGGGAGGGUCAUUGGAAACUGGGAAACUUGAGUGCAGAAGAGGAGAGUGGAAUUCCACGUGUAGCGGUGAAAUGCGUAGAGAUGUGGAGGAACACCAGUGGCGAAGGCGACUCUCUGGUCUGUAACUGACGCUGAGGAGCGAAAGCGUGGGGAGCGAACAGGAUUAGAUACCCUGGUAGUCCACGCCGUAAACGAUGAGUGCUAAGUGUUAGGGGGUUUCCGCCCCUUAGUGCUGCAGCUAACGCAUUAAGCACUCCGCCUGGGGAGUACGGUCGCAAGACUGAAACUCAAAGGAAUUGACGGGGGCCCGCACAAGC
rnacentral:rRNA from 1 species